CCUACGGGGUGCUGCAGUGGGGAAUAUUGCACAAUGGGGGGAACCCUGAUGCAGCGACGCCGCGUGAGUGAAGAAGUAUUUCGGUAUGUAAAGCUCUAUCAGCAGGAACGAGACAAGACGGUACCUGACUAAGAAGCCCCGGCUAACUACGUGCCAGCAGCCGCGGUAAUACGUAGGGGGCAAGCGUGAUCCGGAAUCACUGGGUGUAAGGGGAGCGUAGACGGCUGAGCAAGCCUGAAGUGAAAGGCGGGGGCCCAACCCCCGGACUGCUUUGGGAACUGUACGGCUGGAGUGCAGGAGAGGUAAGUGGAAUUCCUAGUGUAGCGGUGAAAUGCGUAGAUAUUAGGAGGAACACCAGUGGCGAAGGCGGCUUACUGGACUGUAACUGACGUUGAGGCUCGAAAGCGUGGGGAGCAAACAGGAUUAGAUACCCGGGUAGUC
rnacentral:rRNA from 1 species